AAGGGAUGCUUGUUCCCUUAGCGUUGCUCCUGUCAGAAAUAGUAGACUCUGAAUUGGGUACCACAAAAAGGGUUUGGAGCUAUCCCAAUGGCCUUAGUGGAAGAGCCAACUGGAUCAAUCCCCUUUGCUGCAUUUUGGAACUUCCGCCCAUUAAUCUUCCUCAUUCACUGUGUCAAUGCGAGUUGGUCCGCAGUAAUGUCCCAACACUUGACAGUAAGCAGUAAGCAGUCCACCAAUCGUACACCCAAUGAAUGGUGGUCCAUUCACCAUUAUCACACAGCACAUCAAAAAUCAAUCUUCUACUAAAAAUAUCCCUCCACUACGGGAGUUCUGUACUUUACCUCUUUGAGGAGAUAGUGUCAGUCUAUUUUGGGCGCUACCAGUUGAGAAAGAGGGGGCUUGUUCCGCAAUAUGCCAUGGCACACAAUCCAUUAAUCCUAACCAUCCCACAGUCUACAAGCGAGAGAAUUAACCAGUCGGCAGGGAAGGCGUUGGCCAACAAAUUAAAUAGCAGUUACCAUAGGCUUUUCCCAGUUCUUGCAUCCAUUCACAAUUACGCCCAUCUUUAUUCUACCAUGGUAUUUCCUUAAGUUGGGAAUGGAAAGAGGGGUUGAUGCGAUGCACACGCCCAUUACGGCAAAUCAAGCACCUUGAGAAAUGUGGUUCUACACUUCUACCACGAGGUAUGAGCUCUCAACAUCUGAAUUUUGACUUUCCAUGUCAGGAUCCCGAUCUGCAACUCCCUCCCUGCUAUCCUUUCUUAGUUUCCUCCACUUUGUUUUCCGCAACCAGUGCUUAACCAGCAUCACACUCAGAACAAUAAAAACCACUACCAGUGUGGCACCGCUUACUGCUAAUAGCAUCACGAACAUCCAUUUUGUCCCCGUAAUUUGAGGCAUCACCGCCCAAGUGGCUGCAACAUAACUUGUUGCCAUGAAUGCCACAGCUACCCACAUGGCCUUGUGAGCCACCGUCAACAAUAUCAUCAGUGGCUUUCUCUGGAAGGGGAUGAUGCUGACAAGAACAAUCACUAUGGACAGAGAGGUGAACAAUGCAAUGUUGUUGCUUAUCUCAAAGACCUUGAAAGCUAACGUUCCGCCUAAAAUUAACUUCCCUUUUGAUUUUCCUUGCUGAUAGAAACCACCAGGAGGGCUGAUUCCAGCAGCAAAAGUAACUGUUGAUAUCAAAAUGGCAACUAGUAUGAUAGUGUUCCUAGCAUUUUGCAAUGCUUCCAUGUAUAUUGCAUGCUGCUUAUGUCGGUAAUUUGUGUAACUCUCACCUAUAUUUUCCUGGAGCCCUUUGUUAAUAUGCUUGUGUUGACGCAUAUUAGGUGGGAAUAAGGAAUUCCUUCGGUAUGUUUCACAGUCGAAUGUCUCUCCAGCUUGAAACUGUGGUGAUGAUAUUCUAGAGCUGGUUCCCGGGCUGAAUCUAGGCGAGCUCUUGCUUUCAGGAGAAACCAUUUCAUUCAUCACGGGCAUUUCCAAUUCAGUAGCAAUGCAACGCUGCAUGAUAGGCAGACGUUGACUGUUGGACGUUCUUUCUUCCGCUGGUGAACGAGAUAACAAUUCGAUACUUCUUCUGCCACCGGCUUUAACAAACUUGGCUUCAAGACGGCGGUUUUCUGCACUGUCCUUAGCCUGGUCAAGGAUGUCAAGUGCUGUUUGCACCAAGUACACAAGCGCAUCGUAUUGUCCAUGUCUCACGGCCAGAUGAAACACCGACUCUCCCUCGUUCGUAUUAUAGCGAAAAGAUAGAGAAGCCAUGAGCACAAGCUCUUCAAGGACUGCAACUUUGCCAUUCAUUGAUGCCAUGUGCACUGGUAUGUAACCAUUAAUGUUGCGGUGCAGAGUGAGACUUGCAUCGCAGUUUAUGAGCAUCUGGGUUGCCUCCCUGUGUCCUUGGAUACAGGCAUAGUGCAGCAGCGAGUUGCCUUUCUCGUCGGUCGUUCGAGCCAAGUCAGGAUACGCAUUUAGUAACUCGAUAACAGCAUCUGCACCAGGAACUCUGACUUCAUGUUAAUUAAGUGAUUACAACUUUGUGAAUUCAUUAAAAAAAAAUUUUAAAAAGAAAAGGUGAAAAAAAAGAAAAAAGAAGAAGAAGAAGAUAUGAACCCUUAAUUACCUACCCAUAUGUCCGUUCUUUGCUGCCACAUGAACACAAGUCAGAUCGAAUACAUUUUCCUCUAAACCCAGCAUGCCAGGGUGGUUUAAGAAGAGAUUCACAACGUCGUGAUGGCCAUUACUGCAAGCCAUGAAAGAGGCAAGCUUGUUUUCAGAGUUCAGCAUACAUGCAGCCCUCGGAUUGGUCGUUAAUAGCAGCUUCAAAACCUCGGCAGACCCAUGGCGGCAAGCUUCAUGUAUCGGAGUCUCCAGCAUCUUGUUCUGAGCAGCAACCAAGUCCGGGCACAAUGUAACAAUUUCCGACGCCAAGUCAACGUGUCCGUACUUUGCAGCAAGGUGUAAUGCUGUGUCCAACGAGUCGGCUGUUCUCUGCUCAAGAACUCCUUCAUUUGCUUGAAAUAAACUGACUAAUGUGGGCGUGUCAUUUGUUUUAAUUGCCUCUAUAAGCUUAAUAUCCAUUUCCUCAA